UUCUUUUCCAAAUUUUUAUUUCUGUGAUAGGAAAACCAUAGAGUUAAAAGAACUUUUGGAGCAAUCAUUAAUCUCUCUAUUUCCCACUAUAAGGUUUAAGCACUUCAGAUACAACAACUAAGCGAAUUGACAGCCAAGUUGUCUAUGAACUUCCUCAUUGUUUGAAAAACAUUAGCUAAAUCAGAUGAUUUUUGGAAAAGCACCAAUCAAACAGUUGACAGGAAUAAUAUGAAGUUUGAGACAUUUUGAGGGAAAUUUGCUUGGGUGAUAGUAGAUGCUUGCAAGAGUAUUGAGGAGGCAAUGGACUGUGAGACUAAUGAUUAUAGAUGUCUACCUCAUGAGGUUAUAUGCCAUAGCGCGAGGGAUGAAGUUGAAAGGAUUCGGAAGUAGAUGAAGAUUAAGAAAUUAUAAAGCAUGAGUCACUCGAAAUGUUGACCAAAUCUACUUGAUUUGGAAGAAUAAGAACUUGCAAUGCUCUAAUUUGACUUGCCUUUAUGUUAUAAUAGGAACGUAGCGAGAAAUUAUUGAACUUUGUAUAUAAACACUGUCUUAGCUAUGAUUAUAUAUCUGUUAAUAAAAUUUUUAUAUUUUGUGC